AUCCUCCCCCAGAAAUGCAUUGGAGGAAUUCAUAGCAGGAUUCAGAAACCUUCCACCAACAACCUUGCUACUCAAAAUAUCACAAAUGUCAGGGAUUCUUGAAGUCCCACCCCAACGCAGAAUCCUUAUUUCUUGCAAGCGAACUAGUAGAAAACUAAAUGAAUCAGUAGAAGCUCGCCCCAAAAGGAAAAGAAAAUAGCCUUGAAAUUACCCCAAAAUUCAAAGAAAAGUUGCAGUUCAGUAGCUAAACAUGAAAGAUCCUUCAUAAUCACUGUUCAAAACCUCCAAAACCCCACCAGAACACAACGAAAAGGAUACCCAUAUGAGGUUUCUGAGCCUGCCCCAAAUGGGUUUAGCUAAAAGAGAAAAAGAAAGAAGAAUCUGUCAAAAAGAAUCAGAUCUCAGAGAACCACAGGGCUGGAAAGCAACAAAAUGAACCCGAAAACUAUGAACCCUAUGUGAAUCAUUAAAAGGAAAAGGAAGAAAUCAAGAACAAAAAAGGAAGCAAUAAGCUGAAUCCAAAGAAAGUCC